CGAAAUCGCCAAAUAAACAAACAGCAGCGAUGGUUCAAGCGAAGGACACGCACAAAUGGACACCACAGGAGACCAGACGGCUCAUUAAUUUCAGGGGGACCAGGGACAAUGAGUUCCUAAAAUCGGAAAUGAUCGCCAGAAAACAGUGGGAGUGAGUCUUACGUUGUUCAAUCUUUUCAUUCUUGCGUCUGUUUUCUACUUUGGUAUUUCUGUGUUGAGCUCAAUAGCCCACUGAAUGUCUGUGUCAUUAUACAAAUUGCCUAAUGAAUGUAUCAACCAAACGAGACCAUUGUUUUUGUUGUAAUUUAGUAUUUUGGUGUGUGUGUGUGUGUGUGUGUGUGUGUGUGUGUGUGUGUGUGUGUGUGUGUGUGUGUGUGUGUGUGUGUGUGUGUGUGUGUGUAGCCGAGCUAAAUUUAAUUUGAUUUUGUUUUAUUUUUUAUCAUUGUUCAUACCUUUUUUUAUGUGAACACCACCAAAUAUUGGUUCCUAAGUAAGUUGGUUUCGUUGUUC
ensembl:lncRNA